rnacentral:rRNA from 1 species
AGAGUUUGAUCAUGGCUCAGGACGAACGCUGGCGGCGUGCUUAACACAUGCAAGUCGAACGAGGUGCUUGCACCUAGUGGCGAACGGGUGAGUAACACGUGAGCAACCUGCCCUUGGCUCUGGGAUAGCCUCCGGAAACGGGGAUUAAUACCGGACAUGACCUUCUCCUGCAUGGGGGAGGGUGGAAAGUUUUUCGGCCAGGGAGGGGCUCGCGGCCUAUCAGCUUGUUGGGGGGUAACGGCCCACCAAGGCGACGACGGGUAGCCGGCCUGAGAGGGCGACCGGCCACACUGGGACUGAGACACGGCCCAGACUCCUACGGGAGGCAGCAGUGGGGAAUAUUGCACAAUGGGGGAAACCCUGAUGCAGCGACGCCGCGUGCGGGAUGAAGGCCUUCGGGUUGUAAACCGCUUUCAGCAGGGACGAAGCGAGAGUGACGGUACCUGCAGAAGAAGCGCCGGCUAACUACGUGCCAGCAGCCGCGGUAAUACGUAGGGCGCAAGCGUUGUCCGGAAUUAUUGGGCGUAAAGAGCUCGUAGGCGGCCAGUUGCGUCCGCUGUGAAAUCCCGGGGCUUAACCCCGGGCGUGCAGUGGAUACGGGCUGGCUAGAGGCAGGCAGGGGAGAACGGAAUUCCCGGUGUAGCGGUGAAAUGCGCAGAUAUCGGGAGGAACACCGGUGGCGAAGGCGGUUCUCUGGGCCUGUACUGACGCUGAGGAGCGAAAGCGUGGGGAGCGAACAGGAUUAGAUACCCUAGUAGUCC